AGGUCCUAAGUGUUUAAACACGGGAACUAGGCUCUCAAUUCCUUUUUCGCGUAUUCCUUAAGCUUAGGUCCCAAGUGUUUAAACACGACCACUAGGCUCUCAAUUCCUUUAUCGCGUAUUCCUUAAGCCUAGGUCCCAAGUGUAUAAACACGGGAACUAAGCUCUCAAUUCCUUUUUCGCGUAUUCCUUAAGCCUAGGUCCCAAGUGUUUAAACACGGGAACUAAACUCUCAAUUCCUUUUUCGCGUAUUCCUUAAGCCUAGGUCCCAAGUGUUUAAACACGGGAACUAGGCUCUCAAUUCCUUUUUCGCGUAUUCCUUAAGCCUAGGUCCCAAGUGUUUAAACACGGCCACUAGGCUCUCAAUUCCUUUUUCGCGUAUUCCUAGAGGCUAGGUCUCAAGUGUUUAAACACGGCCACUAGGCUCUCAAUUCCUUUUUCGCGUAUUCCUAGAGGCUAGGUCUCAAGUGUUUAAACACGGCCACUGGGCUCUCAA